UGUUCAGCAGUCUUAUAGCUUGGGGGUAGAAGCUGUUAUGGAGCCUUUUAGCCCUAACAGCUUAUAAACUUGAAUUCAGUAUAAGACCGUAAUUGUCAAAUUUGGUAUCAAUAUUCAUAAGGCCUGUAUGAAAUUAAAUUAUUUGUUUUCUUUUAAACAAAUAUAUGGGGAUGAAUAUUGAACAAAGUGAAAGAUGUAUCCAUUAAAUGUUAAUCAAUCAUCUAGGUCUGUUCAUGAUUUAGUGCAGUUAGUUGCUGCAUGUUAUUAGUGCUACAACAAAUAGGGAUUGCUAUGCCACGCUACGCGGAGGCCUCCAGAGACCACAGGAUGGAGUCAAACAAGGUCAACGCCAGAUAUACUUCCUGUUUGGGGCCCGCUAUUUUUGCAACCAGGACAUUAUCCUAGGAUCGAGCCGAUUUACAUGAUGAAUAAUUUCUGUCGUUGUCAAUAUAGGGAACAGAAGUAGGCUACUGUACUAUACAAAAGUGUACUUUCUUUAGUCUAGACAUAUAGUGUUUAGGUACCAUACUAGGCUCAAUAUGAUAUAUAGUGUAUCUAUGCUGGAGGAUUUUACAACUCUCCUAUACUCGGCUGAAUAUGAUAUAUAGUGUAUCUAUGGUGGAGGAUUUUACAACUCUCCUAUACUAGGCUGAAUAUGAUAUAUAGUGUAUCUAUGCUGGAGGAUUUUACAACUCUCCAAAACUCGGCUGAAUAGGAUAUAUAGUGUAUCGAUGCUGGAGGAUUUUACAACUCACCUGUACUAGGCUCAAUAUGAUAUAUAGUGUAUCUAUGCUGGAGGAUUUUACAACUCUCCUAUACUCGGCUGAAUAUGAUAUAUAGUAUAUCUAUGCUGGAGGAUUUUACAACUCUCCUAUACUAGGCUCAAUAUGAUAUAUAGUGUAUCUAUGGUGGAGGAUUUUACAACUCUCCUAUACUAGGCUCAAUAUGAUAUAUAGUGUAUCUAUGGUGGAGGAUUUUACAACUCACCUGUACUAGGCUUAAUAUGAUAUAUAGUGUAUCUAUGGUGGAGGAUUUUACAACUCACCUGUACUAGGCUCAAUAGGAUAUAUAGUGUAUCUAUGCUGGAGGAUUUUACAACUCACCUGUACUAGGCUCAAUAGAGAAUUGAAGUGAGAAGAAAAGAUGUGGAGCCUGAGUCUGGCAGAAAGGGUAGGCUGGAGAGUUGGAACAUGAACACGAGGAAGACACUGAACGUUGACUACUUGGCUAUGGGAAUGGAGAGGCACACCACGUCCAUAGUACUGUACAGAACAAUAUGGUGGAAUGUUUGUUGCUGUUGCUGAGGUUGGUUAUGUACAUGCAUACUUAAGAUUGGAAGUAAAUGCUGAUUGACCCAAACAGUACACUGGCUUAAUAAUGCUGACUGAUUUAAAGCAAAACAUAUUUUGAAAGCAGUAUUGUCAGAUCAACUCUGUCAUACACUGUUUGUCUACUGUUGAAUUGAUCAACUGAUCUCUUCUAAAUCCAUGUUAAAUAUAUGUGAAUACUAAAUGAGUGACAUGCUUUUUUCACCAUUGAUUUCAUGCUUGAAAACAUUGUUCACAAUUGAUUGGAUAUGUAUUGAAACAGACACUAAAUAACGUAUUGUUCUAAACAAAAUGGGCUCAAAACAUUAACAGAGGCAGAUGCUUGCAAACGGGCGAACUCAACGUGAUAAUAGCCACUUCCUUUUCAAUCAUUACCAUACUGAAGUGGCAGGCGAACAAAGUGUUUCUAAUUGUAAAGCGGAAAAAACUGUUUACAUUAAUUAGGCAGAAGAUCAUUGUAAAUUCCUGGCAAAUGGAGAGAGAGAGGGACAAUAAACAGGAUGUGUUACAAAUAGUCUUAACGGAUGGAGCACACACACAGGAUCAGUCUAUUACUGCAUUAGCUCUACCCCUCUCUCUGGACAUUUCUCAGAAUUGAAAACUUGAGCACAGGAUCUAGCUGAUGUUGCGAUGGUGUAAGUCUGGUUCGAUGCCAUAGUAGUUAUGGUAUUGUUACAUGCACAUCUUUGUUUUUUUACAUGGCAGACUCCCAAUGCUUCAGUGCCAAUAUUCCCCUCCCCCUCCCCUGUCAGUGGCGAGCAUCGCCAUUCUCCCUCCACUACAUCAACUGCUUUUUGGUUCAUUGAGAUUCAGCCUGGCACACAGACAAUGCCCAUUUCUUGGCACAGGAUAUUGAAGGGAGAAGCGUACAAGAUUCUACCCCAGUCUUUUCCCUCUCGGUCGUGCCCAGUGUUUUACCGAUCCCCGUGGACCAUCGCCAACUCAUGUUAGAUAUUUUUCGUAUUGUGCUCGUGGCAAAAUACUAAUCGCGAGUGAUUCGUAAUCCAGCUAAUCCACAGUAUGGAACAUUAGAACCAAGUUUGUUAUUGCGACGGUUGUUUUACUCUGUCCGGGCAUCUUUCUAUAAGGUGAAACACAGAAACAGCAUUUUCUGAUGAUGUCUUUGUCAGAAAAAGUGUACAGGAGAGAUGACAGGAAGACAGCUCCUCUCUCUUACUUACCACGGCAGCCAUUUUCUUUUGUCCAAUGAAGUCAGUGAGUGAGAAGCCUGGGAUUUGAACAGUUGAUUAUAAGGAUCCAGCUUUUUGCUGACUUAAACUUUUUAAUGUUUAUUCCCAGUAGAAGUCCUGACCUCCUCUCCGGGUUGAUGAUAAAUUGAGCACCUGUCCUUGAGACUGAGGUAGUAGAUUGAAUAGUUGCGGGGUAUAUUUCCUCCCUCUGACAUAACUAUACAAUCUACUGUCUUUCCUAAGGAGACAGACCAAUCGUCAAUACCCCUGAAGCCAGACCAUUUUCCCCUGGCUGUCCCAUCCAUCUCCCCAGCCUGGACACCUGCCUGCAGCCUGUCUGUGUUCUGUGGGGAAGUUAACAAUUAGCAUAUCACAUCCAUUCACUGAAUGUUCCAGGAUAACAUGAGGAUGUGCAACAUUUCCUCUGUUAGACCACCCAAUUCUUUAUUUGGUUUACAACGAUUGGGGCCUAUUGUGAUAUGGCCCUAUUGUGUUUGAGUGAAAGUGUGCUUUAGGGUGAGUGUGUUGUUGUCGCCUCUCGCUGUGUGUGUUUGAAUGACAUUCCCCUCUCAUCCGUCAGUCUUUAGGGUGAGUGUGUUCUGGCGAGGUGAGGUAGUAGGUUGUAUAGUUUUUGAAGGGAUAGAAUCCUAUUCAGGUGAUAACUAUACAGUCUAUUGCCUUCCUUGAGAGGCACAAUGACCGUCUGCAGCGACGAGAAACUCUACAGAAAACUGCUUGUUGAAUUCCUCUGUGCAUCGGAUGCAAUCUUACUGUGGUAAAGCAACAGAGGGAGCAAUGGUGUGUUUAUUAUAGUUUGCUAGCGUCACCUAGUGGCCAAGGAGCAGCAGGACUCCAGAGACAUUCGACCUGAAGGUUCCCGUAGGCAGGGGUGAAAAGACAAUUGAAAUAUCUUACUCAAGUAGGAGUACUGUUACUUUAAGCAAUGCAAAAUAAAGUGCAUAAAGAAUAAAGUUGGCAGACUUCAAUAUACUUCAUAUUCCAGAAAUAAACAUGUCUCAUUCUUUCACCCUUUCAAUCCAUCAUUCACCCAUCUGUUACAUCUUACUUAUCCAUGGGACCGGCUGAUAUUCACUCACUCACCCAUUCACACUCUUUCCCUCGCCCACUCACUUACUCCCACUCACAAAAUAUAUUUUCCCUCACACACCAGGGGUGGAAAGAGUACUGGAAUAUAUUACUCAAGUAGAAGUACUGUUACUUUAAUGAAAAUACAACAACAACAAAAAGUACUCAGAAAAGAUACUAAAUUACAGUAACGAGAGUAGUUGUAAUGAGUUACUUUACACCUCUGCUCAUAGGUUCACGACUCAGAGCAGGAAGUAAAGAAUAUGAAAUUACCUUAAUAGAGAAUGCAUGAGUUUGACAUAAUCUAAACUAUAAGGGUUGGUUCUCGAGACCUAAAUCAAGCCCUGAAUAAGUUUUUUCAGUCUUGUAGUACUGUUACAAGUCAACAUUAUUCAAGGUUUUAUGAACGAAUAAAGGUUAAAUAAAGCUAUGAAA